rnacentral:rRNA from 1 species
AAGUAGGGGGCGAGCGUUGCUCGGAUUGACUGGGCGUAAAGCGCGAGUAGGCGGUCCAUUAAGUGUGCGGUGAAAUUCAGAGGCUCAACCUCUGUCCCGCCGCGCAAGCUGGUGGUCUUGAGAUUGUGAGGUGGAUGCGGAAUUCCUGGUGUAGCGGUGAAAUGCUUUGAUAUCAGGAGGAACACCGGCGGCGAAAGCGGCAUCCUGGCUUAUAUCUGACGCUGAUGCGCGAAAGCGUGGGUAGCAAACGG